UCCGGGUUUCGCCCGGCAGUCUCCCUAGAACAUGCAGCACCUGUGCACAGGCCCCGAAAGGAGGGUGACUUUCAUCACCUGUCCUGCACAUGUCAAACCCAGGUAAGGUUCUUCGCGUUGCGUCGAAUUAAACCACAUGCUCCACCGCUUGUGCGGGCCCCCGUCAAUUCCUUUGAGUUUCAGCCUUGCGGCCGUACUCCCCAGGCGGGGCACUUAAUGCGUUAGCUCCGGCACGGGAGGAGUCGACACCUCCCACACCUAGUGCCCAUCGUUUACGGCGUGGACUAC
rnacentral:misc_RNA from 1 species